CUGAUGAUGGAGUACUGAGCCUCUCCAUCUAAUUGUCUGAUUAGCCUCUGCAGUUUCUCCCUAUUUCUUGACUUGAGCUCUGACAUGUAAGGACUCUGUCCUUCCCCAAGACAGAAAUCUGGAGGAAGAACCAUCUGCCUUGAACUGGAAGUCAUGCCUCUUGACUCAGAUCUGUUCGGGGAUGUGGCCAUACUUUUCUCCAGAGAGGAAUGGGAGUACCUGGAGCCUGUUCAGAGGGAUCUGUACAGAGAUGUGAUGCUGGAGAACUACAGUCAUCUGGUUUCGCUGGGUAAAG